UACGGAAGGGGCAAGCGUUGUUCGGAAUCAUUGGGCGUAAAGGGCGCGUAGGUGGUUCUGUAUGUCUACCGUGAAAGCGUACGGCUCAACCGUAUUUUGUCGGUGGAAACUGCAGGACUUGAGGCUGGGAGGGGCUGGUGGAAUUCCCGGUGUAGCGGUGAAAUGCGUAGAGAUGGGGGAGAACACUCGUGGCGAAGGCGGCCAGCUAGACCAGUUCUGACACUGAGGCGCGACAGCGUGGGGAGCAAACAGG
rnacentral:rRNA from 1 species